GCCGCCACCACCACCUCCACCGCCAGAAAAAACCCAUUUUGGUGGCCUUAAGGAUGAGGACAGGAUAUUUACCAACUUAUAUGGGCUACAUGACCCUUUUCUGAAAGGUGCAAUGAAACGUGGUGAUUGGUAUCGAACGAAAGAUCUGGUAAUCAAGGGUACUGAUUGGAUUGUAAAUGAAAUGAAGAAGUCUGGCCUCCGUGGGCGUGGUGGUGCUGGUUUCCCUUCAGGCCUGAAAUGGUCAUUCAUGCCCAAAGUAUCUGAUGGCCGCCCUUCCUAUCUUGUUGUCAAUGCAGAUGAAAGUGAACCUGGAACUUGCAAAGACAGGGAAAUCAUGCGGCAUGACCCACAUAAGCUGUUAGAAGGUUGCUUGAUUGCUGGAGUGGGAAUGAGGG
rnacentral:lncRNA from 1 species